GGGUGACAGGUGGUGCAUGGUUGUCGUCAGCUCGUGUCGUGAGAUGUUGGGUUAAGUCCCGCAACGAGCGCAACCCUCGACCUUAGUUGCCAGCAUUCAGUUGGGCACUCUAAGGUGACUGCCGGCUAAAAGUCGGAGGAAGGUGGGGAUGACGUCAAAUCAUCAUGCCCCUUAUGACCUGGGCUACACACGUGCUACAAUGGGCGGUACAAAGGGUCGCGAACCCGCGAGGGGGAGCCAAUCCCAAAAAGCCGCUCUCAGUUCGGAUUGCAGGCUGCAACUCGCCUGCAUGAAGCCGGAAUCGCUAGUAAUCGCGGAUCAGCAUGCCGCGGUGAAUACGUUCCCGGGCCUU
rnacentral:rRNA from 1 species